ACUCCUGCGGGAGGCAGCAGUGGGGAAUUUUGGACAAUGGGCGAAAGCCUGAUCCAGCAAUGCCGCGUGAGUGAAGAAGGCCUUCGGGUUGUAAAGCUCUUUUGUCAGGGAAGAAACGGUGAGAGCUAAUAUCUCUUGCUAAUGACGGUACCUGAAGAAUAAGCACCGGCUAACUACGUGCCAGCAGCCGCGGUAAUACGUAGGGUGCAAGCGUUAAUCGGAAUUACUGGGCGUAAAGCGUGCGCAGGCGGUUUUGUAAGUCUGAUGUGAAAUCCCCGGGCUCAACCUGGGAAUUGCAUUGGAGACUGCAAGGCUAGAAUCUGGCAGAGGGGGGUAGAAGUCCACGUGUAGCAGUGAAAUGCGUAGAUAUGUGGAGGAACACCGAUGGCGAAGGCAGCCCCCUGGGUCAAGAUUGACGCUCAUGCACGAAAGCGUGGGGAGCAAACAGGAUUAGAAACCCGUGUAGUCCCAUGA
rnacentral:rRNA from 1 species